UGCCCACCCGGCCCGGGCCACGGCGCCUUCCCAAUCUGAGCCCCCGAACAGCCUGGUCAGGGGACUGGCCCAGCUGGGGAGGGGUGGUCAGGCCAUGGCUCCAGUGGUCAGAGACAGGGAAACAGCGCUGGAACCUCUCCUCUCAAAUACAGUGAAGCCCCUUCCCAGGGAGGCCGCCCCAGGGUGCCACAGUGGGGCUCUGGGUCUGAGACCUCGGGUGCCCACGCUCAGGGACAUGCCCGUGAAAUAAGGCAGGCACGUCGUGCUCCCUGGAUGGGCCGCCUGUUUUCUGCAGCACAUCCAAGAGGCAGUUUGGCCACAGACGUGUGUGAAAAACAGACCACGUGAGGACGCGGUGAGAAGGCAGCCACGUGCAGGUCAAGGGCAGCUGCCUCCGGAGAAUCCACCCCACUGACACCUGGAUCUCGGGCCUCUGGCCUCCAGAACCGUGAGGAACCACACGUCCGUUGUGUGAGCCACUGCCUGUGCUAUCUUGUUGCUGGCAGCCCUGGCGAACGAACACACCUGCCAACAAAACCCUUGUUUCUAGAGGACGGUUGUUGCAGACGGAGGUUUCCAAGGACAUAAUCACACCCGCCCCCUCCUGGGCCUGGCCACAGGGUCUCUACGUUCAGAGGAUCCAAGGAUAAACACCGAGCUGUUGCCCUUUAUUUUCAUUUAAUCGCCAUAGUAAUCUGUUUUAGAGAUGACAAAAUCCUCAGACAUUAACUUGCCCGGGGUCACCCAGGUUGUAGUGGGAAGCAGGAUUCAAACUCCCUUCUGACUCCAGGUGCCACCUCCUUCUCCCGGGCUCAGAGAGCUGACGCGGGUGCAGGGGAGGCCAGGGGACGGGGCUGGGCCUGGCGCGGAGAACGGUGAGAAGACUGGUCCGUCCGUCCCACUGAGUCCCGCAGUGGUGGUGAGGCUUCUUCCACAACCCAUCCGGAAAAAACGCACUUCUUCCGUAAAACUCUCCAACAUACUCCACGAGGCAGGACGUCUCAUCACAUCACACACCACCCUUGUGCCGGAAGCUCUCCUUAACGAGUUUACCUGAUGGACCAAGGGAGCUUGUUCGUGUACAUUCCGGUCUUUGCCAAGCGACUCCUAACCACACUGUUAUUUUUUCAAAAUACAUUUUAUUAGUGGCA